CCAGACUCCUACGGGAGGCAGCAGUGAGGAAUAUUGGUCAAUGGACGAGAGUCUGAACCAGCCAAGUAGCGUGAAGGAUGACUGCCCUAUGGGUUGUAAACUUCUUUUAUAUGGGAAUAAAACAGGGUAUGCAUACCCUCUUGUAUGUACCAUAUGAAUAAGGAUCGGCUAACUCCGUGCCAGCAGCCGCGGUAAUACGGAGGAUCCGAGCGUUAUCCGGAUUUAUUGGGUUUAAAGGGAGCGUAGGUGGAUUGUUAAGUCAGUUGUGAAAGUUUGCGGCUCAACCGUAAAAUUGCAGUUGAAACUGGCAGUCUUGAGUACAGUAGAGGUGGGCGGAAUUCGUGGUGUAGCGGUGAAAUGCUUAGAUAUCACGAAGAACUCCGAUUGCGAAGGCAGCUCACUGGACUGCAACUGACACUGAUGCUCGAAAGUGUGGGUAUCAAACAGGAUUAGAUACCCCAGUA
rnacentral:rRNA from 1 species